rnacentral:tRNA from 1 species
CCUGUGGCUCAGACGGUAAAGCGUCUGCCUACAAUGCAGAAGACCCAGGUUCAAUCCCUGGGUCAGGA